CUCCUGCCUCAGCCUUCUGAGUAGCUGGGACUACAGGCGUGCACCACCAUGCCUGGCUAAUUUUUGUACAGAUGAGGUUUCGCUAUGUUGGCCAGGCUGGUCUCGAACUCCUGACCUCAGGGUGAUCCGCCCACCUCUGCCUCCCAAAGUGCUGGGAUUACAGGUGUGAACCACUGUGCCCAGCCCACCCCCGUGUUUUAAAAUCAGUUUUCUGAAGUGCGUUGCUUUUGAGCUUUACAUUGCAUCAUAACACGAUUGCUAUUCUUCAGCUUCACUGUGUAUGUAAUAGGUUUUUUGGUUUGUUGUUGCUGCUGUUUUUUAAGUCAAAAUCUGUCUUCUCUCCCCUGGAUUGGGUCAAGGCUGGGGCCCUGGGAAGUACCUUGAUGAAGUCUUGGCUGUGCUGUUCCAUGAGCUCCAGCUUCUCUGAGAGAUAGCCUGGGGUGCAGGGACACAGGCAUUGACGUCACAGGAGAUGUGGGUCAGAGGCUGAAGGAAGGGAAGGUGGUGGCGCAGCUGGAGGACUAGGUGUAAUACGGUCCCAGAAAAACUACAGGAUGGACUAACCCUGCUUAUUCCUGUGAAUCAAGAGGUGAUCUUCUGCAGCUUGGAAAAAAAAAAGCGAUGGAUGGAGUUUCACUCUUAUCACCCAGGCUGGAGUGCAAUAGCGCAAUCUUGGCUCACUGCAACCUCUGCCUCCUGGGUUCAAGCGAUUCUCCUGGCUGGCCCAGAGUGGUGGCAGUGGAGGCAGGGAGAAGUGUUCACAUUCUGGGUACCUUUGAAGGCCAGCUGCUACCCACCUCCUCGGCUCUGCAAGACACUCCCAGACCUGCCUGUGUCCUAUUCGUCUCCCCUCUGCAGACAGAGGCUCUCCUCAAGACUUUGUUCUGCAAAACCCCCACCACUACCCCUAAGAAGGCAAAAGGGCAACUGAGGCAUGAAGCAGGGGGCACGCACGGGGGAGUCCCACAUUCCUGAUCUGACUCCCCAGGCAUAUUGUGCUGCUUCUGGGGAGCUUGCCACGGCCUGCCUCCUCCCGGGUUUGGGCCCUUGUUUAUAUCUGUUCACCUGUGCUUUCCCCUUCCCUGCAGAACAGCGAUCAGAACCUGUUCAUAUCUGGGACCCCACAGUCCUUACCUAGGGCAGCUAGGUGUUCCCUGGCUGAAUGAAGGGAUGUGGAGUUUCCUGCUGGGUGGUGGGUAGGACAGGCUUGGAAGACAGGGGUGGAAUUAAGUAAGGAAGCUCCAGAAGGACACAGGGCCAUAGAUACUCUCCCACCCAACUCCAGGCCACAUCAGGAACACCUGCUAACAUUUCCUGAACACUCUUUUUGAGCCAGGCCCUGUGUAUUUUAGAUGCGGUUUCAUUUGAUCUUCACAGGAGCCCUAUGAGGUAGGCAUCCCCAACCCCACUUUAUAGAUGCAAACAACUAAGGCACAGAGAAGUUAUUUGUUCAAGGUCACAUGGCUACUAAGCAACAAAACUAGGAUGCAAAAGCAGAUUUGUUCGACCCCACAUGCUGUGUGCUUUGCUACAAUCCACACUGUCUCCCAGGCCCCACAGAGCCCCAAAUGCAUGUGUCUCACCAGUUUCACCUGUGGCCACUGUGCUCAGCUAUCCUCAUCCUAAGACAAUUGUAGUUAUGGUUAAGGAAAGCCUUUUAUUAAAUUGCCAAACACCAGGGAUGAUGAUUACUAAUGAUAACAUGGUCAACAGCUCUCCUCCCGGUGAGCCUGGUGUUUCCAUCAUUGCCUUUCCACCCCCAGUAGAAUCCUCUAUUUGCGAUCCUCCCAGCCACACCUUCAGGUUGGUAGUGCAUGUGCCCUCCC
rnacentral:lncRNA from 1 species